rnacentral:tRNA from 1 species
AAAUAAGAAGCAAAAUUUUGCAUUUAGUUUCGACCUAAAAAUUUGGUUAUACCCUUAUUUU